rnacentral:lncRNA from 1 species
GUCGGACUUUAUUUACAGAAACAAGAGGAGGUGGGAGUGUGCACAACCCCCCUCCAUGCACUGGGAGGCAAUGCGGAAGACCCAGGUGCCCUCACAGAGGUGUGAGCCAGGACGUGAGGACAGACCGUGGUGCACUGUGGGCACAUUUGUGAGUUUCCUAAGCAUGAAAUGGAGUACCCUCGGGUCCCAUUUCCAGCCCACGGCAUUGAUUAUGGCAGAGACUGCUUUCCUGAAGCAUGUGCCGUGUUGGGUAACGUAUGCCCAGGCCUGCCAAAUACAGUUGUAUAAGUUGUGCACUGCCCUAUGCCAGAGCAUCUUUCAUACAGACUUUGAUGUGAAUCAUGCUCCCUGGAGUUAUACAGUCUAUCAGCCCUGCCUGCGUAGUGCCUGGCAUUGUUCUAAAUGCUGUAAACAGGGCCAAUUCCUGCUCUCGUGGAGCUUAUAUCACAGUAGAGAAGGGGACUAAUAAAGACAAUAGGUAAGUUCCCAAUAAAUAAAAUAGGUCUAUGUAAUAGUUCCUAGGA